GAUAGACGGGAGGAGAGAAAGAGACAAAGAGAGAUAGGACCAAGUGUAAGCAGACGAGGAGGCGACGGUAGGAGGAUGGAUACGGACGACGUGUUGGAGGGAGAGAAAGACUCGGAUCCGCCACCGGGCGGGCAAAGCGCGGAGAGGAGAAAGGAGAACGAGGUAGAGAGAUUGGGUUAACGGGGAGGUGAGGGUGUAAGGAGCCGGGUAGAGAGCCGGCGAGAGAAGCAGGACGAAGAGGGACAGCCGGCAGAAGGAGAAAUAAUGGAACUGCGAGAUAAAAAAGGCGAUUGCGAGAGGAAAGUCGACGAGCGUCGAGCGUGCGGCCGGGCGAGAGGUGGCCGCGAAGAGAAGAGGAAUCGGCCGACGGACACGCCGGGCGACGUAAAAAGAUCGUGAAAGUUCCAGGCGAGGGAGAAGAAGCUGGUGUGACGAGAAAAACGAGGACCAGUAGGUAGGGAACAGAAGGGCCCGCUGGCAGACAAGAAUAAAAAGAGGGAAACUGAGAGGAGGAGGAGAAGAAGGAGACGAAGAAGACGCUACCGAGGAUUCGAGGAUCGAAUCGAAUGGAUGCUGGGCGAGAAGCGCGCGCUUUGAAGGAAGGUGUGACUGCUUGAGGAGGAGAGCUCUUCUCGUCGUGUGAGACAAAACCUUCGUCCGACCGGUGGCUCAUAGAAGAGUGUCAACGUUAUCGAGCAACCGACUGCCGUUGGGACGAGACGGCCGUACAAGUGUCGAGAACGAAAGCAGGUAAACAUUUGCUACGGGAAUAGACCGCAGCAGUGGCGUGUUCGCCAAGACACCGCUGGUCGCAGCAAAGACGAACGGUGCCCGGAGGCACCGCAAAGACAAGCUUGGGAACAAGAAAAAGGCUCGCGGUGGCGCGGCAAGAUCCACGAGAGACCGUCAGCACUCACCGGUUACACACGACGCGGAUCAACCCCGGCGCGAUCGUCGCCAAUUAAAGAAAAAAAAAGGAAGGGACCGACCUACCGAUUACUCGCAAAGAGCGACGCAAGAACAAAGCGAAGGACGCCGCGGAGAGCGGAAUCGACCCGGAGAGAGAAAGAGAAAUACCGGCGCGAAGCCGCGGAGGAGAGCUGUAACGAGAGAGCGAGAGACCUGCAUAAGCGAGAAGAAGAAAAAUAAGUGGAGAAACGAGAGAGAAAGAGAGAGGGAAAGAGAGAGAAAGACUCCCGACGGUUCACUCGAGAACGGAUCUACCGGGUGGCAGAAGGGAGACGCGCGCGCCAAGAAGACACCCAAGGUAGACUCGAGUGGUACUAACGGACGGACGAAGCGGUAGAAGACGUAGAUAGAAGGACAGGUACGAGACAUGGUGCGCCCGCGGAGCGACGAGGAGAACGAACCGGUUCUCUCGCUCCUUCCUCUUCCGACGGUUCGAUCCGCUGACGUCGCGACGUCGGAUUUGAACGCACCAAUCGCCGUUCGCGAACACCACGUCCGCCGGCUAAAAAAGCCGGCUACGGGGAUCAGGGAGCAGCCAGGUAGGGGGAACGAAGUGGGGACCUCGAGGGACCGAAAGGUGCGUGCGGCCCAGGACGUGGGGCGUGGGGCCAGUUGAUCAGUGAGUGCGGUAGUGAUCUCAUCUCGUACCGCGCCAGGUGUAACUCUGCUCUUUCUCUCUUUUUUUCUCUCUCUCUCUCCUUCUUUCUUUCUCUUCAUCUCUCUCUCUCUCUCUCUCUCUCUCUCUCUCUCUCUCUUUCUUCCGCUCGCUCUUUUUCUCCCUCGUUCUUUCUCUCUAUCUUUUCGGGCUCUGUGUGUCCUCGGUACGACGGAGGCAGUGAUGGAGUUAAAUUUUACGGAUCCAUCCGCUCCGAUCCGGAGCCGAACAUAGCAGCAGCAACAACAGCAGCAGUAGCAGCAGAUAGUAGGCACGACGCGGCCGCGUGUAUUAUGUGCCGAUGUGAUCACGAGUAAUCGGAAUUCGCGACCUGGAAAGCGGAGUGCUAAACGUGCGAUCUUCCGACUGAGACGAGAGAGAAACUCACGAUUUGGCUUACGAUUCACUCACAGCUCAUGGUGCUCAUUUUACCUCCCAACAUUAUCCAUAUCUUUAUGAUAUUAUAAAAAAAAAAUGCUUAAAACAAAGUAAUGUGCGCGCCAAUAAUUGUGACCAAAGCGUUCGCGCUGUAAUACUCGUAUCGUGAAAAUAAAAGCGUUGUAAAUGAUUACAUUUAUACACUGAGAGGAAAAAUAUCGUAGGCGCUACCUAAAGUCUAGAACCAUCAAGCAAGACUUAAGUCUGAAAUUUUGUCUGAAAACCGUCCGAAUUAAAGCGAGAAAAUUGGAAAUGUGCGAGUCAUAUGUGCGAGAACAAAGGACAAUAACAAAGGACAAUAACAAAGGACAAAGUAUUUAAAGGACAAAGAUUAACGGCGAAUCUUCUGCUUUCAGGCUUUCAUUUUGAAUCUUUAACUUAUCUAUUAUCAGAGUGGUUCAGCGCGAUUGGAAUAAAAAUCUACUAUCGUAUCAAGAGGAUCUUGGCGCGGACAUUUUCUUUGGUUAUCUAGCUGUAUGAGUUUUAUUCGACAUCAUAAAGCUAGGUUACCGGAGUUAAGCUCCUCGCCAUAUCAACUCCACCGAUCUUCCCCUUGGAGCGUCUCUACGCUUCAGCGAAAAUAAAGAACCGAGACGCCGAAUACUGUUACACCUGACGUGUCUUGAACAUCGUCGCGGCAUCGACUUAUUGAAUAACAAAGGCGCAGACAAAACAAAAAGAAAAAGAUAAUAACUGAACGUUCGUUCUUCGACAACGAAUUUCAACUCGAUUGACACGUCUCUAUCGCACACAGAUAGAAUUAUUCGUUUCGCGCGAUAUUGGGCGCUCAGUCGAAGUACUCGAAAAUUGCAGUGUGAUCCGAUCAUUGUGAGACUAUUUAGAUAUUAUAAUUGUAAGGUGUGUCGCAUUUUUUUAAUAAAUAUAUGUAUUGUGGAAUAUCGCAUUUUAAUAGGUGAAAUUAAUUUGAAUGAAAUAAGCGCGUCUUGGUUGAACGAAACUGAAUUUCUAGUUUUUAGAAUUUAUGAAUUUAGUUCAUACACUGUGAGAGAAGAAAUAUUUAAGAAAUCUAAGAAAUAAAAGAUAUUUAUUUCUUGAGUAUUCUUACAUUAACAUAAGAUUGGUUCACUCUUACAUUAACAUACUACUGUGUCCAAAAAGUAAGACCAGUUUUUAUUUAUUCUUCCAAAUCUAUUUCGUCGCCUUCAAAGUAAUUCCCUCCUGACAUAAUACACUUAUGCCAACGUAUU